rnacentral:rRNA from 1 species
AUCUCUGUAGAGUCUGCAUAUCAAUAAGCGGAGGAAAAGAAACUAACAAGGAUUCCCCUAGUAACGGCGAGUGAAGCGGGAAGAGCUCGAAUUUGAAAUCUUAAAGGGUUUCCCUUUACGAAUUGUAGUUUAAAGAAGUGUUUUCUGUUGAGGUUUUGGUAAAAGUUCUUUGGAAUAGGACAUCAUAGAGGGUGAGAAUCCCGUAUUUGACCAUUACUUUCAGCUUUGUGAUACACUUUCAAAGAGUCGGAUUGUUUGGGAAUGCAGUCCAAAAUGGGUGGUAAAUUUCAUCUAAAGCUAAAUAUUGGCGAGAGACCGAUAGCGAACAAGUACCGUGAGGGAAAGAUGAAAAGAACUUUGAAAAGAGAGUUAAACAGUACGUGAAAUUGUCAAAAGGGAAGCGUUUGACACCAGUGUUGUUUUUCUGAAAAUCAAUUAAAGAACUGUUUAUGCUAAGUUGUUUAGACUUUAUCAGCUAACUGUUUAGUUUUGAGCUUUUCUUUAAUGCACUUUUCAGUUAACAAGUCAACAUCAAUUUCUUUUGCUGUAAAAAAGCUUGAGGAAGGUGGCUUGAGAUUCGUCUUAAGUGUUUAUAGCCUCUUGCCUAUGCAGUCGGAGAGAUUGAGGUCUGCAGCGUAGAUCCUUCGGGGCUAAAUGCAUUUGUGCUAAGUUAUAGCAUUUUAUAGACAACUUGUUGACUAUGAUUUGUCUUGUAGCUUACUCGCUUAUGUUAUUUUACCUACGCUUAGGAUGUUGACGAUCAGCUGAGCGCG